rfam:Coccidioides posadasii str. Silveira unplaced genomic scaffold supercont2.1, whole genome shotgun sequence.
GCCCUUGUAGCUCAGUCGGUAGAGCAUGAGGCUUUUAUGCGUAACCGUGUGAAGCAAAACCUCAGGGUCCAGAGUUCGAGCCUCUGCAAGGGCG